CACGCAUUGAAAUGUUGGUCCUCACACGAGGACAAUUCUGCAAAUAUUCAGCUUCAUAUUCACCAGUGGCGCACACAAUCUGCACACGAUUAGAAAGCAUAAUUAACUGGUGAAUUUUACAGCCCUAUAAAUAACAUUACAGUAGCCACGCAAAUUCGUGUCCACAAACAUAAUAUUCACACACAAUUUGAAAAUAUUCAUUUAGUAUCCACAUAAAUGUAAAUUGUUUCAUACACCUGUGCAUUCGAUUGUUACCAACAUCAGCACUCUUUGAUGCAUGAACACCAUGAGCAUGUUGUUUAAUGCAAAUGAAACAAACACAACCAAAAAAGAAAAAGAAAAACCACAUGUCAUUAGUUGGUGAUUCAUAAAUAGACCUAACUCUAUGAAUAUAUUUAUGAAACUCAACAUAAAACACAAAAAUAAAAACAAAAAUUCAUUCAAUAUACCUUUGCACUUGACCGUACGUGCUCCCCCACCAGCAAUCACAGAUCUAUCAACCACAACACCCUGAUAUGGAAUUAGUAAAAUACUAUAUUAGAACAAUCUCUAAUGACUUUAAAAUUAAUACAAUAAUGAUUU
rnacentral:lncRNA from 1 species